rnacentral:rRNA from 1 species
AAUCGAACCCGGAGAUAGCUGGUUCUCCUCGAAAUAGCUUUAGGGCUAGCCUCAUGGAUCAUUGGUGGGGGUAGAGCACUGAAUGUGCGCGGGGGCCACAAAGCCUACCAAACGCUAUCAAACUUCGAAUACCAUACAAUGCAGACCAUGGGAGUCAGUCCGCGAGAGAUAAGUUCCGCGGGCAAAAGGGGAACACCCCAGAUCAACCGCUAAGGUCCCCAAGUUCACGUUAAGUGGAGAAGGAUGUGGAAUUGCACAGACAACCAGGAUGUUGGCUCAGAAGCAGCCACACAUUUAAAGAGUGCGUAAUAGCUCACUGGUCGAGUGAUUGUGCGCCGAAGAUGUCCGGGGCUAAACGUGACACCGAAGCGAUGGGUGCAUCUGAAGAAGAUGCGCGGUAGAGGAGCAAUGUGCAGAGGCAGAAGCCGUAUCGAGAGGCACGGUGGACACUGCACAAGAGAGAAUGCCGGUAUGAGUAGCGAGAGGCAUGCGAGAAACAUGCCCGUCGAAAGCCCAAGGUUUCCUGGGGAAGGUUCAUCCGCCCAGGGUAAGUCGGGGCCUAAGCCGAGGACGGAAGUCGUAGGCGAUGGACAGCAGGUGUAGAUUCCUGCACUACCGAUGGAAUGAAGCAGUGACACAGAAGGAUAACUCGAGCAGGGUGAUGGUCAACCCUGUGCAAGCAUCAAGGUUGGGUUGUAGUGAAGUACGCAAUCCUAUAAGCUGAGAUGUGAUGCGGACCGAAAUUUCAGUAGGGAAGCGAGUGAGUUCACGCUGGCGAGAAAAGCUGCUAGUACAUCCAAAGGUACCCGUACCGGAAACCGACGCAGGUGGGCGAGGAGAGAAUCCUGAGACGAACGGGAGAACCCUUGUUAAGGAACUCGGCAAAAUGACCCCGUAACUUCGGGAUAAGGGGUGCCUGCGAGAGCAGGCCGCAGAGAAUAGUCACAAGCGACUGUUUAGCAAAAACACAGGUAUCUGCGAAAGCGAGAGCUGACGUAUAGGUGCUGACACCUGCCCGGUGCUGGAAGGUUAAGGGAACAUGUUAGAGCAAUCGAAGCAUCGAACCGAAGCCCCAGUAAACGGCGGCCGUAACUAUAACGGUCCUAAGGUAGCGAAAUUCCUUGUCGGGUAAGUUCCGACCCGCACGAAUGGUGUAACGACUUGUGAGCUGUCUCAACAGGGGGCCCGGUGAAAUUGAAGUAUGGGUGAAGAUGCCCAUUACCCGCGACUGGACGGAAAGACCCCGUAGAGCUUUACUGCAGCCUGAUAUUGAGUUUCGGUAACUGAUGCACAGGAUAGGUGGGAGUCUGAGAGACACGGGUUUCGGCUCGUGUGGAGACGAUGUUGGGAUACCACUCUUCGGUUACUGAAAUUCUAACAUAGCUCUGUGAAACCAGAGGAUGGACAGUGUCAGGUGGACAGUUUGACUGGGGCGGUCGCCUCCGAAAGAGUAACGGAGGCGCCCAAAGGUACCCUCAGAAUGGAUGGAAACCAUUCGAAGAGCGCAAAGGCAGAAGGGUGCCUGACUGCGAGAGUGACAACUCGAGCAGAGACGAAAGUCGGGCUUAGUGAUCCGGCGGUAUUGAGUGGAAAAGCCGUCGCUUAACGGAUAAAAGCUACCUCGGGGAUAACAGGCUGAUCUCCCCCAAGAGUCCACAUCGACGGGGAGGUUUGGCACCUCGAUGUCGGCUCGUCGCAUCCUGGGGCUGAAGCAGGUCCCAAGGGUUUGGCUGUUCGCCAAUUAAAGCGGCACGCGAGCUGGGUUCAGAACGUCGUGAGACAGUUCGGUCCCUAUCCAUCGUGGGCGUAGGAGUCAUGAGAGGAGCUGUUCCUAGUACGAGAGGACCGGAAUGGACGCACCACUGGUGCAACUGUUGUCGUGCCAACGGCAUAGCAGGGAAGCGAAGUGCGGAUGGGAUAAACGCUGAAGGCAUCUAAGCGUGAAGCCCACCUCAAGAAUAAGACUCCACAAUAGACCCCUGGAGGACUACCAGGUAGAUAGGUCAUCGGUGGAAGCGCUGUAAGGCGUGUAGCUUGAUGAUACUAAUCGGUCGAAAGCUUCAUUUA